GUGCAUGUGAUGAGAAACCAUUUGCAACUCACGACGGUCGUCUGAGACACUUAGUGUGUAAUGGUGCAUUUGUAUGUUCUCUGAUGCCC
rfam:Hordeum vulgare subsp. vulgare, WGS project CAJW01000000 data, contig: morex_contig_46293